rnacentral:rRNA from 1 species
UUGAUUCUGGCUCAGAUUGAACGCUGGCAGGAUGCCUUACACAUGCAAGUCCCAGACGGCAGCACGGACUUCGGUCUGGUGGCGAGUGGCGAACGAGUGAGAGUAAUGUAUCGGAACGUGCCCAGUAGCGGGGGAUAACUACGCGAAAGCGUAGCUAUUACCGCAUACGCCCUACGGGAAGCAGGGGAUCGCAAGACCUUGCUAUUGGAGCGGCCGAUAUCGGAUUAGCUAGUUGGUGGGGUAACGUACCACCAAGGCGACGAUCCGUAGCUGGUUUGAGAGGACGACCAGCCACACUGGGACGAGACACGGCCCAGACUCCUACGGGAGGCAGCAGUGGGGGAAUUUUGGACAAUGGGGGAAACCUGAUCCAGCCAUCCCGCGUGCAUUAAGGAAGUAUUCAGGUUGUAGAAACACUUUUUGGCAGGAAAGAAACGUCGUGGGUUAAUACCCCGCGAAACUGACAGUACCUGCAGAAUAAGCACCGGCUAACUACGUGCAAACAGCCGCGGUAAUACGUAGGGUGCAAGCGUUAAUCGGAAUUGGGCGUAAAGCAGUAGCAGGCUUGAUUCUAAAGGAAGAAAGAUGUGAAAUCCCAGAGCUUAACUUUGGAACACGUUUUUAACUACCGGGCUAGAGUGUCAGAGGUGGGUUCGCGUGUAGCGAUUAAAUGUUUGGAAAUGGAGGAACCGAUGGCAGAAGCAGCCUCCUGGGACGCAACACUGACGCUCAUGCACGAAAGCGUGGGAGCAAACAGGAUUAGAUGCUGGUAGUCCACGCCUAAACGAUGUCAACUGUUGGGGCGCUGAGCAGCAGUAAGCGCAGCUAACGCGUGAAGUUGACCGCCUGGGAAGUACGGUCGCAAGAUUAAAACUCAAAGGAAUUGACGGGGACCCGCACAAGCGGUGGAUGGUAUGGAUUUAAUUCGAUGCCUUGCAGAAAACCUUACCUACCCUUGACAUGUCUGGAAUGCCGAAGAGAUUUGGCAGUGCUCGCAAGAGAACCGGAACACGGGUGCUGCAUGGCUGUCGUCAGCUCGUGUCGUGAGAUGUUGGGUUAAGUCCCGCAACGAGCGCAACCCUUGUCAUUAGUUGCUACGAAAGGGCACUCUAAUGAGACUGCCGGUGACAAACCGGAGAGGGCAGAGGAUGACAUCAAAGUCCUCAUAGCCCUUAUGGGUAGGGCUUCACGUCAUACAAUGGUCGGGACAGAGGGUCGCCAACCCGCGAGGGGAGCCAAUCCCAGGAAACCCGAUCGUAGUCCGGAUCGCAGUCUGCAACUCGACUGCGUGAAGUCAGAAUCGCUAGUAAUCGCGGAUCAGCAUGUCCGUCGUUCCCGGGUCUUGUACACACCGCCCGUCACACCAUGGGGUGGGUUUUACCAGAAGUAGUUAGCCUAACCGCAGAGGCGUGCCACGGUAGGAUUCAUGACUGGGGUGAAGUCGUAACAAGGUAA